UCCGGUGAGGGGGCCUGCGGAGGGAUCAUUACACAACAAAAAUAUGAGGGUGUGGUUUGCUGGCAACAGCGUCCGCCCCAAGUAUUUUUCACCCAUGUCUUUUGCGCACUUUUUGUUUCCUGGGCGAGUUCGCUCGCCACCAGGACCCAACCAUAAACCUUUUUUUAUGCAGUUGCAAUCAGCGUCAGUAUAAUAAUUCAAUUUAUUAAAACUUUCAACAACGGAUCUCUUGGUUCUGGCAUCGAUGAAGAACGCAGCGAAAUGCGAUACGUAGUGUGAAUUGCAGAAUUCAGUGAAUCAUCGAAUCUUUGAACGCACAUUGCGCCCUUUGGUAUUCCAAAGGGCAUGCCUGUUCGAGCGUCAUUUGUACCCUCAAGCUUUGCUUGGUGUUGGGCGUCUUUUUGUCUCUCCCCUUGUUGGGGGAGACUCGCCUUAAAACGAUUGGCAGCCGACCUACUGGUUUUCGGAGCGCAGCACAAAUUUGCGCCUUCCAAUCCACGGGGCGGCAUCCAGCAAGCCUUUGUUUUCUAUAACAAAUCCACAUUUUGACCUCGGAUCAGGUAGGGAUACCCGCUGAACUUAAGCAUAUCAAAAC
rnacentral:rRNA from 1 species